rnacentral:rRNA from 1 species
CCUACGGGAGGCAGCAGUAGGGAAUCUUCCACAAUGGACGAAAGUCUGAUGGAGCAACGCCGCGUGAGUGAUGAAGGUUUUCGGAUCGUAAAACUCUGUUGUAAGGGAAGAACAAGUACGAGAGGGAAUGCUCGUACCUUGACGGUACCUUGCGAGAAAGCCACGGCUAACUACGUGCCAGCAGCCGCGGUAAUACGUAGGUGGCAAGCGUUGUCCGGAAUUAUUGGGCGUAAAGCGCGCGCAGGCGGCCUUUUAAGUCUGAUGUGAAAGCCCCCGGCUCAACCGGGGAGGGUCAUUGGAAACUGGAAGGCUUGAGUACAGAAGAGAAGAGUGGAAUUCCAUGUGUAGCGGUGAAAUGCGUAGAGAUGUGGAGGAACACCAGUGGCGAAGGCGACUCUUUGGUCUGUAACUGACGCUGAGGCGCGAAAGCGUGGGGAGCAAACAGGAUUAGAUACCCUGGUAGUCCACGCCGUAAACGAUGAGUGCUAGGUGUUGGGGGGUUUCCGCCCCUCAGUGCUGAAGCUAACGCAUUAAGCACUCCGCCUGGGGAGUACGGCCGCAAGGCUGAAACUCAAAAGGAAUUGACGG